rnacentral:lncRNA from 1 species
AUUAUUGAGAGAAGAUAGAAAGCAACUUUUGAUUGAUCAUUGUCUUCAAAAAUAUAUCGCAAAUUUAAGUCGGAAAGUGUGAUCGUUUAUUGAUAUCUAAUUUAAUUCUUCUGUGGUAAAUUAUUUAUGUUUUUACGUGAUGGAAAUUAAUACAAAUCUAUCAUGUCAUAUUUGCCAAAAACACUUCUCUUCUGCAUGGAAUUUUAGAAGACAUUUAAAGGCCCAACAUAGUUAUAAUGAGAGUAGUAAGUAUUUGAAAGAAAAGUAUGAGCCUAUGUAUAAAAUUUUAUUCUAGUACCGACUGAAGUAAGUUUACAAGUUGUUCCAUUGAAUGAUAAAGAAACUAAUACUCACAACAAUAUCCAAUGUCAUUUAUGUGCAAAAAAAUUUGCCACAGGUUUUAGCCUCAGAAGGCACUUAAAAAGUCAACAUGUAAACAUUGAAGAAGAUAAACCCACCAAAAAGCAAAGCAUUAAAGUUAGUCAUGAAAGUCAAGGAAAUGAAGAAAAAAAAAAUUGUUCAAACAAAAAUGAGGGGCAUAAAGUAUUAUUAGGAAUUGUCAAAACUUCAGUGAAACAUGUGGAAUUCAUUCCAAAACCAGAUCAAAUUGUUGAAGUUUUAUUACAGAGCAAUAACCAAGGUCGUGAAAGUGGAAACAAAAGUCAAGAAUAUGGCUGCUUACAGGAUAAAACAUCAUCAGCUACACAAAAACAUAUGAAAAAACAUCAGAAAAAACAAAGAAAUAAUGGAAAAAAAAGUUAAAUCAAUUAAGAUGCUUGGAAGAAAUGUGCCAUUUUAACUGUACUAGAUUAAAAAGCCUUCGUUAUCAUUUAGAGUUGAAACAUAAUAUUUUGCAAGAAGUGGAAGUACUACAGUUUGAAAGCAUUGAAGAAUUUAAAAAAUGGAAAAAUCAGGAGGAAAGCAAAUGUGUGGCAGUAUGGGUAAAAGCAUGUGGUAUUAAAAAAAAUAGACAAGGUGCACCUAUUUAUUACUAUUGUAAUCGAACUGGUAAAAGGAAAGUUUUGGCAGCAGCAAAAAGGAAACGUGCCCUAAAAGGGCAAGGCUCAUGCAAAAUUAAUGCUUCCUGUACUUCAGCCCUGAUAAUUAAGCAUAUUUCUCAAGGUGUAAAAGUAACCUAUUUUAAAAAUCAUUAUGGGCAUGAAAAAAAAAUGGCCUAUAUUUCAUUAUCCAUAAAUGAUAAAAAUAAGAUAGCACAACAAUUGAUACAAGGUAAUUAAAAUAUUAUCUAAAA